UCUCCGUAGGUGAACCUGCGGAGGGAUCAUUACAGAGUUCUCGCCCUCGCGGUUAGUACUCCCACCCACUGUUAUCGUUACUGGCGUUUCUUUGGCGGGCCGCCGGGUCCCCUGCCGCCGGCCCCUAAUAAGCCGGGCGCGCUCGCCAAACGUCUUCCAACCCUGUACGUUAGAGUCAUCUGAAUACAAUUUAUUAGUUAAAACUUUCAACAACGGACAUCUUGUUUCUGGCAUCCAUGAAGAACGCACCAGAACGGAACAGCAUACGUCUGAACUCCC
rnacentral:misc_RNA from 1 species